rnacentral:rRNA from 1 species
AGUGAACGCUGGCGGUAGGCCUAACACGUGCAAGUCGAACGGCAGCACAGUAAGAGCUUGCUCUUACGGGUGGCGAGUGGCGGACGGGUGAGGAAUACAUCGGAAUCUACUUUUUCGUGGGGGUUCAUGUAGGGAAACUUACGCUAAUACCGCAUACGACCUACGGGUGAAAGCAGGGGAUCUUCGGACCUUGCGCGAUUGAAUGAGCCGAUGUCGGAUUAGCUAGUUGGCGGGGUAAUGGCCCACCAAGGCGACGAUCCGUAGCUGGUCUGAGUGGAUGAUCAGCCACACUGGAACUGAGACACGGACCAGACUCCUACGGGAGGCGGCAGUGGGGAAUAUUGGACAAUGGGCGCAAGCAUGAUCCAGCCAGACCGCGUGGGAGAAGAAGGCCUUCGGGUUGUAAAGCCCUUUUGUGGGGAAAGAAAAGCAGCAGGUUAAUACCCCGCUGUUCUGACGGUACCCAAAGAAUAAGCACCGGCUAACUUCGUG